rnacentral:rRNA from 1 species
UGCCAGCAGCCGCGGUAAUACGUAGGUGGCAAGCGUUAUCCGGAUUUAUUGGGCGUAAAGAGAGUGCAGGCGGUUUUCUAAGUCUGAUGUGAAAGCCUUCGGCUUAACCGGAGAAGUGCAUCGGAAACUGGAUAACUUGAGUGCAGAAGAGGGUAGUGGAACUCCAUGUGUAGCGGUGGAAUGCGUAGAUAUAUGGAAGAACACCAGUGGCGAAGGCGGCUACCUGGUCUGCAACUGACGCUGAGGCUCGAAAGCAUGGGUAGCGAACAGGAUUAGAUA